CGGCGAGGCUUCCCUGUCCGUUAUCCAUGGGAGCACUCGAUUAUGCUGUGGGAAUGCAGAGAAGUCUCCACAAGCCUUAGACGCAUGUCGUCAAAAGCAUAAUGUGAGGACGGGUUAGAUGCCUG
rfam:Bacillus niacini strain DSM 2923, whole genome shotgun sequence.